CACUCCUUUUUAGCCAAGCAUUCACAAAACACAUGUCAUAACCUUGUACUCCAUUGAUGAAAUAGUAAAAAGUGCUCAUGAUAAUUUUUUGCCUGAAAUAUUAUGAACAGCAGCUAUGCUAAUCUUUCUCCCUUUGCCUUCCUGUUUCUCCAAAUGUCCAUCCCAGGGUUAUUAGAAACUGCACAGCACCAGGACUUGUGAGGACUUCAGAUGAUGCCAAUACUCAAAAAGACCUUAGAUGAUGGCAACUAUAGAUGGACAUACAAACUACCGCCACUGCAACAGACCAGGAAGUCGAACACUGGAUUAAAAGAUGGCUGCAGCUUGCCAGAGAUGGGAUGGAGGCCAGGAGAGAAGAUUUAAAGGUUGUUGGUAUCGGACUGCUUUUUGGCUCUGACCCUCGCUUGCCCCUGACCUCGUGUCUGAAUUACCCUCUGGAUUGAUGUUUUCUUUGGACUGCUUUCUAGUUUUGACCCCUGCCUGUUUCAUGGACUCCCGUUUUGCCUUGCUCAUGGUUAGUUAGCUAGUUAUCGAACUGUUGAUUUGAAUUCUCCAUUUCUUUGACUCCUCUUGCAGAAAUGUGUUGUGCUCCUCUGGUUAACAAUGUAGCAGUCCAGUGAGAAUAGUUGAAUGUAUAUACUUUAUUGGAAUUCUGUAUGUAUCUGUUAUAGGGCUGUGUGAUUAAUCGAAAUCGAAUCACAAUCACGAUUUGAGACGUUGCGAUUUGCUAAUUGCAAAACCUGCGUUGUGGACGCAAUAUUACUCUUCCAGAGCAUAUGCAUGACUGCCAGCCUUGUGUGGCAGUCUUACUAACCAAUAGAAUGAGCGCACCUCCAUUCUCCCCAAUCGGCACUGCUCUAACCAACUGCGUAAACACCCUCCAUUAAAAAAAAA